AACGAACGCUGGCGGCAUGCCUAACACAUGCAAGUCGAACGAGACCCCUGACUUCGGUUGGCGGGUCUAGUGGCGCACGGGUGCGUAACGCGUGGGAAUCUGCCCUUGGGUUCGGAAUAACUCAGAGAAAUUUGAGCUAAUACCGGAUGAUGACGAAAGUCCAAAGAUUUAUCGCCCAGGGAUGAGCCCGCGUAAGAUUAGCUUGUUGGUGGGGUAAUGGCCUACCAAGGCGACGAUCUUUAGCUGGUCUGAGAGGGAUGAUCAGCCACACUGGGACUGAGACACGGCCCAGACUCCUACGGGAGGCAGCAGUGGGGAAUAUUGGACAAUGGGCGCAAGCCUGAUCCAGCAAUGCCGCGUGAGUGAUGAAGGCCUUAGGGUUGUAAAGCUCUUUUACCAGGGAUGAUAAUGACAGUACCUGGAGAAUAAGCUCCGGCUAACUCCGUG
rnacentral:rRNA from 1 species